rnacentral:rRNA from 1 species
GUUGUGAGGUUAAGCGACUAAGCGUACACGGUGGAUGCCCUGGCAGUCAGAGGCGAUGAAGGACGUGCUAAUCUGCGAUAAGCGUCGGUAAGGUGAUAUGAACCGUUAUAACCGGCGAUUUCCGAAUGGGGAAACCCAGUGUGAUUCGUCACACUAUCAUUAACUGAAUCCAUAGGUUAAUGAGGCGAACCGGGGGAACUGAAACAUCUAAGUACCCCGAGGAAAAGAAAUCAACCGAGAUUCCCCCAGUAGCGGCGAGCGAACGGGGAGCAGCCCAGAGCCUGAAUCAGUGUGUGUGUUAGUGGAAGCGUCUGGAAAGGCGUGCGAUACAGGGUGACAGCCCCGUACACAAAAAUGCACAUACUGUGAGCUCGAUGAGUAGGGCGGGACACGUGGUAUCCUGUCUGAAUAUGGGGGGACCAUCCUCCAAGGCUAAAUACUCCUGACUGACCGAUAGUGAACCAGUACCGUGAGGGAAAGGCGAAAAGAACCCCGGCGAGGGGAGUGAAAAAGAACCUGAAACCGUGUACGUACAAGCAGUGGGAGCACGCUUAGGCGUGUGACUGCGUACCUUUUGUAUAAUGGGUCAGCGACUUAUAUUCUGUAGCAAGGUUAACCGAAUAGGGGAGCCGAAGGGAAACCGAGUCUUAACUGGGCGUUAAGUUGCAGGGUAUAGACCCGAAACCCGGUGAUCUAGCCAUGGGCAGGUUGAAGGUUGGGUAACACUAACUGGAGGACCGAACCGACUAAUGUUGAAAAAUUAGCGGAUGACUUGUGGCUGGGGGUGAAAGGCCAAUCAAACCGGGAGAUAGCUGGUUCUCCCCGAAAGCUAUUUAGGUAGCGCCUCGUGAAUUCAUCUCCGGGGGUAGAGCACUGUUUCGGCAAGGGGGUCAUCCCGACUUACCAACCCGAUGCAAACUGCGAAUACCGGAGAAUGUUAUUACGGGAGACACACGGCGGGUGCUAACGUCCGUC